GUAAGAACAGAGAAGAAACUGGCAUUACUUCUGAUUUCGAGAAAUUUUUUCUUGCAAUCUCUGGGAACCAAAAAAGAGAAAAAAACAAAAGAAAAAAAAAAUGAAGCUGCGUUUCCUCAAAUUUAACCACCUUAUUUUGAAGUUUCUUGAAAUUCAUCUCAGCUAUGACGCUGUAAACCUGUAACACUUCUCAAUCUAGUGUCGACAAACAAUAGUUCUUGAUGAUCGUUGGAAAAAAGGGAUUCGCAGGCAACACCUUAGGCCAACAGCUGUAAUCAACAUUCAAGAGUGCUUCACAACAUUCUGGACCAAGUAAUUCGAAUUUAAGGUUCAACAUGGAUAUUAUCUGUUCCUUGGGACACCUCGGGAUAGUUAAAACCGAGUGAAAGCAUUGCAAAAAAUGAAUCAAACCGGCACCGGGAAUAUAUGGUUCACUUACAUUUUGUUGCUGUGCAAAGUUUGGUGCAGCCAUCAUUGAAAUGGACACAAAUAUAAGGGCAAUUGCUUGCAUGGUUCUGGUGUUAG
rnacentral:lncRNA from 1 species